UACGUAGGGUGCAAGCGUUGUCCGGAAUUAUUGGGCGUAAAGAGCUCGUAGGCGGUCUGUCGCGUCUGCUGUGAAAACUCAGGGCUUAACCCUGAGCUUGCAGUGGGUACGGGCAGACUAGAGUGCGGUAGGGGGAGACUGGAAUUCCUGGUGUAGCGGUGAAAUGCGCAGAUAUCAGGAGGAACACCGGUGGCGAAGGCGGGUCUCUGGGCCGUAACUGACGCUGGAGGAGCGAAAGCCAUG
rnacentral:rRNA from 1 species